AGCUUCAACAUCCCCGUAGGUCGAGCCCGCCGUGGUGGGCAGUGGAUCUACUGGAGCC
ncrna:unclassified sequences nadA RNA